AUUGAUUGAUUGAUUGAUUGAUUGAUUGAUUGAUUGAUUGAUUGAUUGAUUGAUUGAUUGAUUGAUUGAUUGAUGUGUUUCCUAUUUUUGUACGUUGAGGAGCUGUUACUCUUGCGGUUUUCAAUAGGCGCACCAUGUGUGUAUCCUUCACAUCCUUGUGUUUGUGCUUCUAAUGCGGUAUUACGCAACACGAGGGAGUGUUGUCGAUUCCUCAUAACGGCAGAUGCAUUUAGAUGGGUGUUUUUCUGGAGCCCCUAACCAUUGCGUUACUCAUAUCAUGGCUUUGGUUCAUAACACCAAUUAGACUUUUUUGCUUCUUCAAAGCGCCGAGCUUUCAAGUCGGAAAAGUCAUUUGUGUGUUCUGCGAAAAUAAUUCCAGCGUCCGAUUAUAUACGUUGCGCAGAGCAAGGCCAAGUUGUUCGUUCGGGCUGGUUAUCGCCUAACAUCCGGCCGCCGACGCAAUAUCGCGACCCCCCUACAUCAACAGCACGCCCGGAGUUCAGCCCCGGACGAAGGACGCGGCCUGGACCCCGCUAUCCGGCGCCUUCCACGUAGCGCGGUGCCACGAACGACUCGAGCGGACAGCGUCGACGCUGGACCAAGGGCGAGGGCAGUGUUCGGCGACUCGGGCGUUUCCGCGGCCUUCCUGAUGCAUGAUGCACCUGUAGUACAACGCCUGGAGGCCCGGACGCUCGACCACGCAGGAGAAGCCGACGCUGGCCCACCUUGUGGUUCGCGCAUGCGCCAUCGCCCUCCGCCCUGCACGUGGUGGCCGCGCCGCUGGCCGUAACGCACGAGCUGGCGGAGACGCGGAGAGUGGCCACGGGGUCAGACGACGUCGGCGGCGUCUCGGACGGCGACGACGACGGCGAUGACGGUGACGCUGAAGGCGCUGAAGACGUCGCCAGCGUCACCGCAGUCCGCCGACGCCCGCCGCCUGCCGGCGCCUUCUGCGGCGUCUUUUUGUUUUGUUAUUUGAUGUGUAUAUAAUAAUGUUGUUCAAAUUUUGUUCGUCCACAUUGUGGUGCAGUAAAUGUGUUUUGUACAUAUGAAAUAAACAAUUUUAAUGCGAAA